UCAGGAUGAACGCUAGCUACAGGCUUAACACAUGCAAGUCGAGGGGCAUCAGGAUCUGUGCUGCACAGAUGCUGGCGACCGGCGCGACGGGUGAGUAACGCGUAUCCAACCUCCCCCUUAGUAGAGGAUAGCCCGGCGAAAGUCGGAUUAAUACUCUAUGUUGUUCAAUGCGGACAUCUAAGUUGAACCAAAGGUUUACCGCUAAGGGAUGGGGGAUGCGUCUGAUUAGGUAGUAGGCGGGGUAACGGCCCACCUAGCCAACGAUCAGUAGGGGUUCUGAGAGGAAGGUCCCCCACAUUGGAACUGAGACACGGUCCAAACUCCUACGGGAGGCAGCAGUGAGGAAUAUUGGUCAAUGGGCGCGAGCCUGAACCAGCCAAGUAGCGUGACAGGAUGACGGCCCUAUGGGUUGUAAACUGCUUUUAUGCGGGGAUAAAGUGCACCACGUGUGGUGUUUUGUAGGUACCGCAUGAAUAAGGACCGGCUAAUUCCGUGCCAGCCGCCGC
rnacentral:rRNA from 1 species